UCUUAAUUUACCGGUUUACUAAUCAUUAGGACGGUAAACGACAUUUACUAUCACUUUUACUGUCGUUUCAGUACUUUUAGGGGGCCAUAAAAUAUGACUUUUUGUUCGGGUCAAAAUUUGAGAAAAUGUUCUUCAUGGAAGUUGUAGAGGACGUUAAACCGAGCGCGUGCAUAUGUGGUAUGUAAAAAUCGGAGUUCGUAUACGAAAGUUAUGGCCAAAAUACUAAAGUUACUGUUCAUAGUAAGUUUCUAUAAAUAGCCGAGUUACUGUGGUAAGUUUCCAUUUUCGGAAACUUACCGAGCCUCUCCCCGAUUCUCUCUUCCUCUCCGACCUCUUCACCUUCUUCCGGCCAUAACUCCUCCAUCCGGCGACGGAUUUUGACGUGUAAGAUGUCGUUGGAAAGCUCUCUUCCUUCUCUUCAUUUCUGGGUUCGUUUCGUAGCUUAAUAUGAACUGUGGAAGGUGCAGCAACGAGAAGAAGAGGACGGUCACUGUAGCAGUUUUGAGUCAACGCCGAUAUUUUCCGAUUCCGGCAGUCUCCGGCCACCAAAUUGGCGUCGAAGGGUUCUUGGAAUUUCUGGAAAAUUUUCACCGGCCAAAUUGGAGCUCUUCCAGGGCAAUGCCGCGAGCUAUGGUUAAAUGAAGGAACUCGUUUGCGUGGUCGCCCAAUAGUACUUUUGCAGGCGAAAUUAGUUGAGGUCGGGCGUACAUGGAGUCGAGGCAUAGCCAACAGCAUUGCUUCCGCGUACUCAUUCUAUUUCUGUUUUCUUUGUUACCUAGUGGAUUAGUAUUGCUCUGAUAACCUAUGGGAUUAAUAUUGUUUUUGGGUUGA